AUGGCCAUCACCGAGACGACGGCGUCGAUCCCACCCAGUACUACCAGGCUCAGCGCCCUCGCCACGCAGAAGGCCGCCGGCGUGAACCCCUACCCGCACGCCUUCCAGCCCACCGUCUCCGUCGCCGACUACGUCCACAGGUACAGGGGCCUGGCAGACGGGGAGAAGCUGGUGGACAUCACGGAGUCCCUGGCCGGGAGGGUCAUGAGUAAGAGGACGUCGUCCUCCAGCCUCUUCUUCUAUGACCUCCAUGGUGGGGGCGCCAAGGUCCAGGUCAUGGCCGACGCCGGGACAUCAGAGCUGGAGACACCCGAGGAGUUCUCCGCUUUCCACUCCGGCGUGAAGGUCGGCGACGUCGUUGGCGUGUUUGGGUUCCCCGGGAAGAGCAAUAGGGGCGAGCUCAGCAUAUUUCCUGCCCGGUUCGUUGUGCUCUCGCCCUGCCUGCACAUGCUGCCGCGGCAGCCAGAUAGGCACCGUCGCGCGCCGCCGCUACCGUGGGCUCCCGGCAUGCCCAGGAACAUGGAGAGCUACGCCCUAAAGGACCAGAAGACACGGUACCGUCGGCGGUACUUCGAUCUCAUGGUGAACCCCGAGGUGAGGUCCGUCUUCACGACGCGAGCCAGAGUCGUCUCCUUCAUCCGCAGCUUCCUCGACGAGCGCGGGUUUCUGGAGGUGGACACCCCGAUGAUGAACGUGGUGGCCGGUGGCGCCGCCGCGAGGCCGUUCGUCACGAACCACAACGACCUCAACAUGAAGCUGUACAUGCGCAUCGCGCCGGAGCUCUACCUGAAGCAGCUCGUCAUCGGGGGGCUGGACUGCGUGUACGAGAUCGGGAGGCAGUUCAGGAACGAAGGCAUCGACACGACGCACAACCCGGAGUUCACGACGUGCGAGUUCUACAUGGCAUAUACGGAUUACAACAACCUCAUGGAGCUCACGGAGGAGAUGCUGGGCGGCAUGGUGAAGGAGCUCACGGGCGGCUACAAGGUACAGUACCACGCCAACGGGACCGACAAGCCGCCUAUCGAGAUCGAUUUCACGCCUCCGUUCGCGCGAAUCGACAUGAUCAAGGGACUGGAGGACAUGGCCGGUCUCAACAUACCGGAGGAGGAUCUGUCGACUGACGAUGCCAACGAGUACCUGAUGGAGGCCUGUGCCAGGUACGACAUUACGUGCCCGCUUCCACACACGACGGCAUGGCUGCUGGACAAGCUUGUCGGGCACUUCUUGGAGGAGACAUGCGUGAACCCGACGUUCAUCAUCAACCAUCCGGAGAUCAUGAGCCCGCUGGCCAAGUCCCACAGGGACGAGGCCCGGCCUGGACUGACCGAAAGGUUUGAGCUGUUCAUCAACAAGCAUGAGGUGUGCAAUGCCUACACGGAGCUGAACGACCCCGUCGUGCAGAGGCAGCGGUUUGAGGAGCAGCUGAGGAAUCGUCAGGACGGUGACGAUGAAGCAAUGUCCAUGGACGAAACGUUCUGCACUGCCCUUGAGUAUGGCCUGCCGCCGACCGGAGGCUGGGGUCUGGGGAUUGAUCGCCUCACCAUGUUGUUGACGGAUUCCCAAAACAUAAAGGAGGUCCUCCUGUUCCCGGCCAUGAAGCCUCAAGACAGCUAG
rnacentral:rRNA from 1 species